UGGAUAUUCAGUAUCAAUACUGGAAUAAUAUACUGUUACAUUAACGUAUACAAUUAAAAUGUAAUUAAGUAUUCAUAUAAUUCUAUAUUCUUCUUUGUAGAGAAUAAAGUCGACAAGUCACAUCCAAAACAAUUUUGUGAAAGACUGGAAGCGAAUAAUGGCACACCACUUUCAUCCAUACUACCAGAUGAGAAACCUGAUGAAAUCUGAC